rnacentral:misc_RNA from 1 species
UAAUAAGUGUUUUAUGGCACUUUUUUAAAUCCAUAUCCACCUUGUGUGCAAUGUCAGUCGAUCCUCUUCAUGGAGAUCGACCAAACAUCAACCUUUAUCUUUUAACUCUUUGUCUGAAAAAUAUUAUGAAUAAACAAUUCAAAAUA